AACGAACGCUGGCGGCGUGCCUAACACAUGCAAGUCGAACGGAGAUAAGGGGCUUGCUCCUUAUUUUAGUGGCGCACGGGUGAGUAACGCGUGGAUAAUCUGCCUGAUGCUCUGGGAUAACAUCUCGAAAGGGGUGCUAAUACCGGAUAAGCCCACGGGGUCUUAGGAUCUUGCGGGAAAAGGAGGGGACCUUAGGGCCUUCCGACAUCAGAUGAGUCCGCGUCCCAUUAGCUAGUUGGUGGGGUAAAGGCCUACCAAGGCGACGAUGGGUAGCUGAGCUGAGAUGAGGAUCAGCCACACUGGAACUGAGACACGGUCCAGACUCCUACGGGAGGCAGCAGUGGGGAAUUUUGCGCAAUGGGGGAAACCCUGACGCAGCAACGCCGCGUGAGUGAUGAAGGCCUUUGGGUCGUAAAGCUCUGUCAGAGGGAAAGAAAUGUGGGCGGCUAAUAUCCGUCCCACUUGACGGUACCCUCAAAGGAAGCACCGGCUAACUCCGUGCCAGCAGCCGCCGUAAGAC
rnacentral:rRNA from 1 species